UAAUGGACAGCCUAGAUAAAAAUGCAUCAAAUCAACGAAAGAGGGUUGCAGUACUGCAGGGUCUGCCAUGGUUCAUGCAUGAGAAUCCAUCGCAAUUCAUAAAGAUCUGUGAGCACACAGAUUCCGAAGAAGAAAUGAUCAGGGGCAUGACUCUAGGAAUCAUCACAGUGGUGGAAGAUGUGACAGACCCCAUUCCAUGCGACUCUGAUGUGGCCCUUGUUAUAGAGGAAGCGGUUGUUCUGCGAGGACUUGGUGACAUACCAAAUGCGUAUGUGAACAUGAUGGGAUUGCUUUAUGCUCUUAACAUAAACUACCCAAAAAACCUCAAAUACACUUUUGAGGUAAUUCAGCGGCUGCUGAUGAACAUUGGAGCGGAUACGUGCAGUGCAAGAGUGCACUCCCUUAAAAAUACAUUGUUAAGUUAAAGAUGUUGUUGAGGUAAGGUGUUGUGUAUUACUAUCAAAGGCCUGUGUUUUUUGAAUAUUUUACAGUUUUUCUUUGUUCUCUGUUCUCUGCAUCGAUGGCCUGACAUCUAUUUUAAACAAGAUUUCAUGUUUUAAAGUUAUUUCAGAAUUUAAGGGGUGUUAUUAAUGUGAAAAGUCUUAGUGUUAGUUUACCCAAAAUGACAAUUCUUUUGUUAGAUAAUCAACCUCAUGUUGCUCUAAACCGUCUUUUGAACACACAUCAAGUUAUUUUUAAUGAAAUUUGUGAGCUUUCUGUCCCUCCUUUGACAGCCUACACAACUAUCACUUUCAAGGUCCAGAAAGGAAGUAAAAGACAUUCUUAAAGUAAUCCAAGUGACUACAGUGGUUUAUAUAUUUGUUUGCAUGCAACAGUAUCUGCUUUCGCAUUCAAACAAGAAGUAGGGCUGGGCGAUAUAUCUAACAAUAUGAUCAUGCCCAUCUAGUCAGUUAAAGCCGGUUCCGUGAUUAUCGCUAAAUCGCCAUCACCUGCUUUUAAAUGGAGUGGCAUUUAAUAGACAGAGCCGUAGAUCACUGACAAGCUGUGCACGCAAUAUCGCGUUCAUUAUCGAAGGCGAUUCAUCUGGGAUAAUGAACGCGA